UGCACUCACUACUGUAUGUUGCUCUGGAGAAGAGCAUCUGCUAAAUGACUAAAA
rfam:Salmo salar isolate Sally breed double haploid chromosome ssa16, whole genome shotgun sequence.